UAAAAAAGAAGGCGCAUUGGUUCAUUUUAAACAACUGUCUAGAAGUUAGAAAGUAUCUCGAUGAACAUAUGGAAGAGUUGAGAAAAACUGUCCCCCGCAGCUUGCACCAAAAGCAGAAAGAGGAAUUGCCGAGAUGGUUUAGUAAUCGGGUACACUAUGUCGAGCUCCCCCAGAACCCCUCAUGAUGAUGAUGGCGGAUCAGGAAAGGAAAAGGGUGGUAGAGGACCAUAUCUAGGAUUGGAUGGAGAGAGAAGGAGAAGAAGCACUAAGGAUGGAAAAUUACCAAUCCAAUUUGACAUGACCACGUUGAAGCCAAUAGGGGAAAAUCACAGUACAUGGUCACGUGAUUUGUCUAUGCAUGGAAAACAACGUUUGCCAAGCUUCAUAUCAUAAGAUUGAUUCAGAAUAGAAGAUACCAAUUU